CCUACGGGGGGCAGCAGUGAGGAAUAUUGGUCAAUGGGCGCGAGCCUGAACCAGCCAAGUCGCGUGAGGGAAGACGGUCCUAUGGAUUGUAAACCUCUUUUGUCGGGGAGCAAAAGACGCCACGCGUGGCGUUCCGAGAGUACCCCAUGAAAAAGCAUCGGCUAAAUCCGUGCCAGCAGCCGCGGUAAUACGGAGGAUGCGAGCGUUAUCCGGAUUUAUUGGGUUUAAAGGGUGCGCAGGCGGAAGAUAAAGUCAGCGGGAAAAUUGAGAGGCUCAACGUCUUCGAGCCGUUGAAACUGGUUUUCUUGAGUGAGUGAGAAGUAUGCGGAAUGCGUGGUGUAGCGGUGAAAUGCAUAGAUAUCACGCAGAACUCCGAUUGCGAAGGCAGCAUACCGGCGCUCAACUGACGCUCAUGCACGAAAGUGUGGGUAUCGAACAGGAUUAGAUACCCGGGUAGUC
rnacentral:rRNA from 1 species